rnacentral:rRNA from 1 species
CANGGANUUAGCCGAUGCUUAUUCUUCAGGUACACGUCAUUUAUUCCUCCCUGAAAAAAGAGGUUUACAACCCAUAGGCAGUCAUCCCUCACGCGGUAUUGCUCCGUCAGGCUUUCGCCCAUUGCGGAAAAUUCCCA